rnacentral:rRNA from 1 species
AUUGAACGCUGGCGGCAGGCCUAACACAUGCAAGUCGAACGGUAACAGGAAGAAGCUUGCUUCUUUGCUGACGAGUGGCGGACGGGUGAGUAAUGUCUGGGAAACUGCCUGAUGGAGGGGGAUAACUACUGGAAACGGUAGCUAAUACCGCAUAACGUCGCAAGACCAAAGAGGGGGACCUUCGGGCCUCUUGCCAUCGGAUGUGCCCAGAUGGGAUUAGCUAGUAGGUGGGGUAACGGCUCACCUAGGCGACGAUCCCUAGCUGGUCUGAGAGGAUGACCAGACACACUGGAACUGAGACACGGUACAGACUCCGACGGGAGGCAGCAGUGGGGAAUAUUGCACAAUGGGCGAAAGCCUGAUGCAGCCAUGCCGCGUGUAUGAAGAAGGACUUAGGGUUGUAAAGUACUUUCAGCGGGGAGGAAGGGAGUAAAGUUAAUACCUGUGCUCAUUGACGUUACCCGCAGAAGAAGCACCGGCUAACUCCGUG